rnacentral:lncRNA from 1 species
UGAUAGGUUCAAGCAUACUUAUGAGAGGAGAAGGUUGAAGCAGAAGGAAGUGAAGAAGGGAGAGGAGUGACGGGAAAGGAAGAGUGAAGUGGUGGUUAACAAAUAAAGUGGAGACACGUGUGAGAUAGUAAAGGAAGUAUAAAUACUCGUAUUGUUUCUGUUAUACGGUUAUCGUGGAUUACAAUUGUUAAUCUUAGCAUAUGAGCUAGGUCUACUCAGGUGAUGAGAGUAGAGUGAUACUCAGGUGAUAGAGUAUCACGACGGUUGUAAUUCUCGAAUCUAUUCAUCAAUAUACAUCGUUAUUCAGUAGAUCCGAUCUUUGAUCUUAUCAACAGAGCUGGCAGGAGUUCAAGGAUAAGCUAGUUCUCCGGUUCACUGAAUCAAUUGAAGAAGAACCUGCUAGCCGUCUGUUUGCAAUCAAGCAAACUGGUUCUGUAGCUGACUACAUUUCAGAAUUUGAAGAGUUAUCCGAAUUGGUACCAGGAUUGGAUGAUGAGUUUCUUAUAAGGAUAUUCUACAACGGUCUCAAUCAGGAAAUGAAAGAAGUUAUCAGGAUGAAGGAACCUAAGGGGUUAGAGAAUCAUAUCGCAGCAGUAUUAAGAAUGGAGACGAGCGCGUUCUGUAAGGUGGUCAGUGAUAAGAGCAAAUCAGAGGAAGGAUCUCAACAGCAGUCCAAGUCACAUGUUUUGAAGUCAUCAUCGGGUUAUAACUCACAUCGUCAUUGGACUGAUAAUGAGAACAGAAAGGGUCACACAACGCCUUCUGCAUCUAUGCAAGAGAAAGAGGGCAAUACUCAGACAUCAUCUUCUGAACUGCGUCCACGGAUGAAACAUUCUAAAGAAGAAUUGGAUCGAAUGAGAAAGGAAUUUAUUUGCUUCAGAUGCGGAGCGAAUGGAUGGACCAGAGCGCAUAAAUGUCCUAAUAAAGAGUUGCGCAUUAUCACUGUGGUAAAUGGGUUGGAGAUGGAGGUUAUUGACGAAGUCGACAAUGAAGAAGAGGAAACGAUAGUGUAUACUCCAGCUCAACAACUCGCUAUACUAUCACUUAACUCGUUUUUGGGAAUUCAUUCUCCAAAGACGACAAAACUUUAUGGGAAAAUCAACAAAACUAACGUCAUUGUUAUGUUGGAUAGUGGUGCUUCCCAUAAUUUCAUAACACCUGAUACGGUGCAGAGGCUCAAAUUGAAAGUUUGUGCUGAUCCGAGCCUCGACAUUCUGCUAGGCAAUGGAGUGACAGUCAAAGGCGCAGGGGUCUGCAAGUCUGUCACAUUCAGUUUAGCGGAUACCGAAUUCAUUUCGGAUUUCAUAGCUUUGGAAUUGGGAAUGGUUGAUGUUAUUUUAGGCAUUCAGUGGCUGGAGACAUUAGGAAAAUGUGAGGUAGAUUGGAAGGAGCAGGAACUGUCCUUUAUGUAUAACAAUACUAAAGUGACAUUGUUCGGAGAUCCAAACCUGCAUUGUUCCUCAUUCUCUUUUAAGUCACUGUCUCCUAUCUCUAAUGCUGAUACACGAGGAAGAGGAGCACUUGUGUUAUCAGCAAGCGAGGUGACAUCAAACAUUCCAGAAAUUCCGAGAAAGCUGCAGACAUUGUUGGACAAGUUUGAUCAUGUAUUCGCAAUACCAACGGGUUUACCUCCUUUCCGUGGGUAUGAUCAUUCCAUUAACUUGCUUCCAGGAGUGUCUGCAAUUUCUGUGCGUCCCUAUCGAUAUCCACAUUCCACAAAAGCAAUCAUGGAGAAGAUGGUGGGAGAUAUGCUCGAUGCAGGGAUAAUCAGAGUGAGUACAAGUCCCUUUUCAAGUCCUGUUCUGCUAGUCAAAAAGAAAGAUGGCUCAUGGCGUUUCUGUAUAGACUACCGAGCAGUGAAUAAGGUGACAGUACCAGACAAGUUCCCAAUACCGGUGAUUGAUCAAUUAUUGGAUGAACUACAUGGAGCGACAGUCUUUUCGAAAAUCGAUUUACGCGCAGGUUAUCACCAAAUCCGUAUGAAGGAAGCUGAUAUUGAAAAGACUGCAUUCAGGACGGUAGAAGGCCACUACGAGUUCUUAGUUAUGCCUUUCGGCCUGACGAACGCUCCGGCAACAUUUCAGGCUUUGAUGAACUCUAUAACUGUCUCCUAUCUCUAAUGCUGAUACACGAGGAAGAGGAGCACUUGUGUUAUCAGCAAGCGAGGUGACAUAUUAAAGGGGGCUCAGUGUUUCGCAUUAACAGUUCCGACAGUGAUACAGUUGCAAGAAAUAUAUAAGGAGAUUGCUGAAGAUGUGGAGUUACAGAGAUUAACGACGUUGGUGAAGCGCGGAGAAUUGUCAAAUCCACAUUAUCGGGUGGUCGACGACAGGUUAUGGUAUAAACAGAGGCUGGUGUUACCGAAGUCGUCAACAUCAAUUCCACUGAUAUUGUUUGAAUGUCAUGAUGGGAAGAUCGGUGGUCACUCGGGAGUUCUAAAGACGGUGAAGAGAGUUCAAACGAUGUUCCAUUGGGAGGGCUUGUUUAAGGCAGUACAACAGUAUGUAUCUGAGUGUGGGGUGUGUCAAACUCACAAGUAUUCAACAUUGUCACCUGCAGGACUACUCCAACCGUUACCGAUUCCAAUGCGUAUAUGGGAGGAUAUUUCGAUGGAUUUUGUGGAAGGUUUACCGACAUCACAGGGUUUUAAUGUGAUCAUGGUUGUGGUGGAUAGAUUGAGUAAGUAUAGUCAUUUCAUUGGCUUAAAACAUCCGUUUACAGCAGUGGAUGUGGCUUCGAAGUUCAUGGCAGAAGUUGUACGACUACAUGGGUUUCCGAAGACAGUGGUUUCAGACCGUGACAGAAUUUUCUUGAGCAGUUUUUGGAAAGAUUUGUUUCGUCUAUCAGGCACUAAACUGAAGUAUAGUACAGCGUUUCAUCCGCAAACAGAUGGUCAAACAGAGGUCCUUAACCGUUGUAUGGAGACUUAUCUUCGCUGCUUUGCUUCAGGACAUCCGAAAACGUGGUAUAAAUUUUUGGCUUGGUCUGAACUUUGGUACAACACUUCGUAUCACACGGCAUUGAAGACAACACCAUUUCACGUGGUUUAUGGAAGAGAGCCUCCGAAAUUAGUGCGUUUUGAAGAAGGAUCGACUCAGAACUUUGAUUUGGAAACGAAUUUGCGAGAACGAGAUGCGAUGUUAUCACAGAUUAAACAACACUUGGCACGAGCUCAAUCUAUUAUGAAGGCACAGGCGGAUAAACAUCGCAGAGAUGUGCAGUUUUCAGUGGGUGAUCUCGUCUAUUUGAAGCUGAAACCAUUCCGUCAAAAUACUGUGGUUAGGCGUUAUUGUCAGAAGCUUGCCGCCAAGUAUUUUGGUCCCUAUGAGAUCACAGAACGCGUAGGCAAGGUGGCGUAUCGGUUGAGACUUCCUCAGGAGUCUAAGAUUCAUCCUGUUUUUCAUAUUUCACAGUUAAAAGCCGCUUUGGGUCAGGAUCAUUUAGCCCAAACAGUACCUCCCGCGUGCACAGACUUGGAGAACGUAGUGAUGGAACCAGCAGAGGUGUUAGCAUCGCGGGUACGAGAGGAUGGUAAUGUUGAGCUGUUGGUACGUUGGCAGAACUCAGUGGAUCAUGAGAAUUCUUGGAUGCUUUUGGCGGAGUUUGAAGGCAAUUUUCCGGAUUACAAGCUUGAGGGCAAGCUUGCUCUCAAUGGGGGGAGUAUUGAUAGGUUCAAGCAUACUUAUGAGAGGAGAAGGUUGAAGCAGAAGGAAGUGAAGAAGGGAGAGGAGUGACGGGAAAGGAAGAGUGAAGUGGUGGUUAACAAAUAAAGUGGAGACACGUGUGAGAUAGUAAAGGAAGUAUAAAUACUCGUAUUGUUUCUGUUAUACGGUUAUCGUGGAUUACAAUUGUUAAUCUUAGCAUAUGAGCUAGGUCUACUCAGGUGAUGAGAGUAGAGUGAUACUCAGGUGAUAGAGUAUCACGACGGUUGUAAUUCUCGAAUCUAUUCAUCAAUAUACAUCGUUAUUCAGUAGAUCCG